UUUUUCAUACAAGAAAGGAGAGAAUUUUACUGAUUAGAAAUAAUUUUUGAAAAAUCCUAAUAUCUUCACAAACAAUUUUCAGUAAAAUAAUUUAAAACAUUACAACUUACUAAAAAUAUGUAUCUCAUAAUAUUCUAUACUUAAUAUUUGGUAUGUUCCUACAAGUGCUUCACAAACUCAAUCCCUUGAGCUUUAUGGAUCUUUUUUAUGAACACUCAAAUAUUUUGUCAUCAUAAAAAAAGGAG
rnacentral:lncRNA from 1 species